AGUGAACGCUGGCGGUAGGCCUAACACAUGCAAGUCGAACGGCAGCACAGUAAGAGCUUGCUCUUACGGGUGGCGAGUGGCGGACGGGUGAGGAAUGCAUCGGAAUCUACUUUUUCGUGGGGGAUAACGUAGGGAAACUUACGCUAAUACCGCAUACGACCUACGGGUGAAAGCAGGGGAUCUUCGGACCUUGCGCGAUUGAAUGAGCCGAUGUCGGAUUAGCUAGUUGGCGGGGUAAAGGCCCGCCAAGGCGACGAUCCGUAGCUGGUCUGAGAGGAUGAUCAGCCACACUGGAACUGAGACACGGUCCAGACUCCUAUGGGAGGCAGCAGUGGGGAAUAUUGGACAAUGGGCGCAAGCCUGAUCCAGCCAUACCGCGUGGGUGAAGAAGGCCUUCGGGUUGUAAAGCCCUUUUGUUGGGAAAGAAAAGCAGCAGGUUAAUACCCCGCUGUUCUGACGGUACCCAAAGAAUAAGCACCGGCUAACUUCGUG
rnacentral:rRNA from 1 species